rnacentral:rRNA from 1 species
AUUGAACGCUGGCGGCAGGCCUAACACAUGCAAGUCGAGCGGGGUUUUCGGACCUAGCGGCGGACGGGUGAGUAAUGCGUAGGAAGCUACCCGAUAGAGGGGGAUACCAGUUGGAAACGACUGUUAAUACCGCAUAAUGUCUACGGACCAAAGUGUGGGACCUUCGGGCCACAUGCUAUCGGAUGCGCCUACGUGGGAUUAGCUAGUUGGUGGGGUAAUGGCUCACCAAGGCGGCGAUCCCUAGCUGGUUUGAGAGGAUGAUCAGCCACACUGGAACUGAGACACGGUCCAGGCUCCUACGGGAGGCAGCAGUGGGGAAUAUUGGACAAUGGGCGCAAGCCUGAUCCAGCCAUGCCGCGUGUGUGAAGAAGGCCUUCGGGUUGUAAAGCGCUUUCAGUAGGGAGGAAGGGUGUUGUGUUAAUAGCACAGCAUUUUGACGUUACUCGCAGAAGAAGCACCGGCUAACUCUGUGCCAGCAGCCGCGGUAAGAC